GCGCGCAAACAUCUUGAAGUGGCCAGGCUGCGAGAACGCGUAUUUCCUUGGCCAGCGCGCCCCCGUGCAGGCGUGCCGUGGCGGUUCAGCGGUGGUGCCAUCGUUGCUCCCACAAUCGCACACAAGAUCGACCUCGCGUUCU
rnacentral:sRNA from 1 species